UUCCGGUUGAUCCUGCCGGACCCCACUGCUAUCGGGAUGGGACUAAGACAUGCUAGUCGAGCGUCUCCAAGCUAUGGAAGAGACGCGGCACACAGCUCAGUAACACGUGGCUAACCUGCCCUUGGGACAAGGACAACUCCGGGAAACUGGGGCUAAUCCCUGAUAGGUGAGAACUCCUGGAAUGGAUUCUCGCUGAAAGGACGUUUAGACCAUGCUUCUAGGCAUCGCCCAAGGAGGGGGCCGCGACCGAUCAGGUUGUUGGUGAGGUAACGGCUCACCAAGCCUUUAACCGGUACGGGCCGUGAGAGCGGGAGCCCGGAGAUGGGCACUGAGACAAGGGCCCAGGCCCUACGGGGCGCAGCAGUCGCGAAAACUCCGCAAUACACGAAAGUGUGACGGGGCUAUCCCGAGUGCCAUCCGCUGAGGAUGGCUUUUCCCCAGUGUAUAAAGCCGGGGGAAUAAGGAGAGGGCAAGCCUGGUGUCAGCCGCCGCGGUGAUACCAGCUCUCCGAGUGGUGGGGAUGCUUAUUGGGCCUAAAGCAUUCGUAGCCUGCUUGGCAAGUCCUCCGUUAAAUCCAACGAUUCAAUCGUUGGGCUGCGGGGGAUACUGUCCAGCUAGGGGGCGGAAGAGGCCGACGGUAUCCCCGGGGUAGGGGUGAAAUCCUAUAAUCCCGGGAGGACCACCAGUGGCGAAGGCUGUCGGCUAGAACGCGCUCGACGGUGAGGGAUGAAAGCUGGGGGAGCGAACCGGAUUAGAUACCCGGGUAGUCCCAGCUGUAAACGAUGCAGGCUAGGUGUUGGCGCGGCUAUGUGCCGCUCCAGUGCCGCAGGGAACUCGUUAAGCUUGCGCCUUGGGAAGUAC
rnacentral:rRNA from 1 species